GCUGGCGGCGCGCAUAACACAUGCAAGUCGAGCGAGGGCUUAUUUCUCGCAAGAGAGAUAAGUUCCUAGCGGCGAACGGGUGAGUAACACGUGGGCAACCUUUCCUAUCGCGGGGGAUAACACCGGGAAACCGAUGCUAAUACCGCAUGUCGUCACCGGUCGCAUGGCCGGUGAAGAAAGCAGCAAUGCACGAUGGGGUGGGCCCGCGGCCUAUCAGCUAGUCGGUGGGGUAACGGCCUACCGAGGCGAUGACGGGUAGCUGGUCUGAGAGGACGGCCAGCCACACGGGGACUGAGACACGGCCCCGACUCCUACGGGAGGCAGCAGUGAGGAAUCUUCCGCAAUGGGCGAAAGCCUGACGGAGCGACGCCGCGUGUGGGAUGAAGUCUUUCGGGAUGUAAACCACUGUCGGAGGGGAAGACAUCGACGGUACCCUCCAAGAAAGCCCCGGCUAACUACGUGCCAGCAGCCGCGGUAAUACGUAGGGGGCAAGCGUUAUCCAGAUUUACUGGGCGUAAAGCGCGUGUAGGCGGCUGGUUAGGUGUGAUGUG
rnacentral:rRNA from 1 species